GACAAAGAGUGCAAGCGUUAUUCGUCUUUAUUGGGCGUAAAGGGUAUGUAGGUGGCCUUUAUAAACUAAGUCUGAAAUGCUAGAAGAUAAAAUUUAGAAGUGGACUUAAUGAUUGAAAGGCUUGGAGUUAAAAGGAGGUUAGAAGAAUUUUUCAGUUAGGGAGUAAAAUCCAAAGUUGAGAAGGACUACCAAAGGCGAAGGCAUCUUUCCAUUUUUAACUGACACUGAGGUACGAAAGCCUAGGUAAUCAAACGG
rnacentral:rRNA from 1 species